CCAGGGUUUGGUGGGCGAGCUCACUACCAUCCUCCCGGUGGUCUUCUUCCUCGCUUGAUUCUUGGGCGCCCCAUCUAUUCUGGAUGAGCACCUUCCAGUGGUGGGUGAGGAUAUCUGGCACGAACCACGCGCCGAGAGGAUCUCAACUUCUGCUGCCUCUGCACGCCCUAGGCCUAAUCUCACCAAACUUUGCUACACUUCACAUAAUGAGGGAAGGAGGAUGCGUCCAUCGCAACACUCAAGAAAAUCAGAUGACAAGGUGUUUGGAGCAAGCUACUCAUAGCCAACUACAUAGUUUAGUAAAAUGCUGUAUUAAAGCAUUGUAAAUAAAUAACUUAUAUGACCUGCUUUUGGUAUAUAGUACGGAACCUUGAUCUUUAGGUAUUUCAUGCUACAAUUG